rnacentral:rRNA from 1 species
CAGGCUUAACACAUGCAAGUCGAGCGGUAACAUUUCUAGCUUGCUAGAAGAUGACGAGCGGCGGACGGGUGAGUAAUACUUAGGAAUCUACCUAGUAGUGGGGGAUAGCUCGGGGAAACUCGAAUUAAUACCGCAUACGACCUACGGGAGAAAGGGGGCAGUUUACUGCUCUCGCUAUUAGAUGAGCCUAAGUCGGAUUAGCUAGAUGGUGGGGUAAAGGCCUACCAUGGCGACGAUCUGUAGCUGGUCUGAGAGGAUGAUCAGCCACACCGGAACUGAGACACGGUCCGGACUCCUACGGGAGGCAGCAGUGGGGAAUAUUGGACAAUGGGGGCAACCCUGAUCCAGCCAUGCCGCGUGUGUGAAGAAGGCCUUUUGGUUGUAAAGCACUUUAAGCAGUGAAGAAGACUCCGUGGUUAAUACCCACGGACGAUGACAUUAGCUGCAGAAUAAGCACCGGCUAACUCUGUGCCAGCAGCCGCGGUAAUACAGAGGGUGCAAGCGUUAAUCGGAAUUACUGGGCGUAAAGCGAGCGUAGGUGGCUUGAUAAGUCAGAUGUGAAAUCCCCGGGCUUAACCUGGGAACUGCAUCUGAUACUGGUAGGCUAGAGUAGGUGAGAGGAAGGUAGAAUUCCAGGUGUAGCGGUGAAAUGCCUAGAGAUCUGGAGGAAUACCCGAUGGCGAAGGCAGCCUUCUGGGAUUCAUACUGACACUUAAGCUCGAAAGCGUGGGUAGCAAACAGGAAUAAGAUACCCUGGUAGGUCCACGCCC